rnacentral:rRNA from 1 species
UGAAUACGAGACGCUAAGGCGUCGAAGUAGUGUAUGUCAUACUUCCAAGAAAAGCUUGCACUGUCAUAAGUAAAAAAUGCCUGUACCAUAACCGACACAGGUGGGUAGGUAGAGUAUACUAAGGGGCGCGAGAUAACUCUCUCUAAGGAACUCGGCAAAGUGACUCCGUAACUUCGGGAGAAGGAGUGCCUUAUUUAUAAGGUUGCAAUAACAAGAUCCAAGCAACUGUUUAUCAAAAACACAGGUCUCCGCUAAGUCGUAAGACGAUGUAUGGGGGCUGACGCCUGCCCAGUGCCAGAAGGUUAAAGAAGUUGGUUAGUGUAUGCGAAGCUGAUGACUGAAGCCCUGGUGAACGGCGGCCGUAACAAUAACGGUCCUAAGGUAGCGAAAUUCCUUGUCGGGUAAGUUCCGACCCGCACGAAAGGCGUAAUGAUUUGGAUACUGUCUCGGAGAGAGGCUCGGUGAAAUAGACUUGUCUGUGAAGAUGCGGACUACCUGCACCAGGACAGAAAGACCCUAUGAAGCUUUACUGUAACUUGAAAUUGGAAUUGGACUUUGCUUGCGCAGUAUAGGUGGGAAGCGUUGAAAAUAUUCUUGCGGGAGUAUUGGAGCUAUCAGUGAGAUACCACUCUUGUAAUGUUAGAUUUCUAACUUUGAACCAUAAUCUGGUCAAAGAACAGUUUCAGGUGGGCAGUUUGACUGGGGCGGUCGCCUCCCAAAUGGUAACGGAGGCGUACAAAGGUUUCCUCUGAACGGAUAGAAAUCGUAUCUAGAGUGUAAAGGCAUAAGGAAGCUUGACUGUGAGACCUACAAGUCGAGCAGGGACGAAAGUCGGUCUUAGUGAUCUGACGGUACUGAGUGGAAAGGCCGUCACUCAACAGAUAAAAGUUACUCUAGGAUAACAGGCUGAUCUCCCCCAAGAGUUCACAUCGACGGGGAGGUUUGGCACCUCGAUGUCGGCUCAUCGCAUCCUGGGGCGGUAGUACGUCCCAAGGGUUGGGCUGUUCGCCCAUGAAAGCGGUACGCGAGCUGGGUUCAGAACGUCGUGAGACAGUUCGGUCCAUAUCCGGUGUAGGCGCUAGAAUAUUGAGAGGAGCCUUCUUAGUACGAGAGGACCGAGAAGGACACACCGCUGGUGUACCAGUUAUCGUGCCAACGGUAAACGCUGGGUAGCUAUGUGUGGAGUGGAUAACCGCUGAAAGCAUCUAAGUGGGAAGCCCACCUCGAGAUGAGUAUUCGC